AUUCCACUAACAGGUUAUUCCACUAACAGGUUAUUCUACUAACAGGUUAUUCCACUAACAGGUUAUUCUACUAACAGGUUAUUCUACUAACAGGUUAUUCC